GCAAGGAGAGUAUGAUUUUCUUUUUACUGAAUUGGUAAAAACCAAAUGAAUGAAAUACUCCCUAUUUAUAGGAUUUUUGAAGUUGGGACAAAAUUGUAAUUUCAAAAAAUAAUUUUUGAAUAUACCGUUUAGAUCAAACAUUUUUGAAUGGAUGGUCCAGAUCAAAGCUAAUUUUUACACGGUAGUAGAAUAAAAAGGCGCCCAGGCCUUUUUUAAUCUUUUGAUCAUUUAAUGCUUUGACCAACACAUGCCAGCCAAACAUCAAGCCUUACACGGUUUCUUGUCCAAAAAAAAUGAAAGUCACUUUAAGAUUGCACACACACGGUUUAACAACACAUGCACAUUAAUCACACACACAAACACACACACACACACUUAUAUGUAGUAUACUCAUAUAUAAGUAUAUUUUUACUAUAUACGGUAUAAUAUUAUAUAUAUAUAUAUAUAUAU
rnacentral:lncRNA from 1 species